GACAUUCAAGCAGAAGAUCAUUAGCAGUGUAAGGCUCUCCCUUCUUCAAGCGACCUUGAAGAGCUUAUCCAUUGUGCUGAAGCUACAUCGGAUGAAGAGGAAAUUGAUGACACUCUUGCCCUCGGCUGGGACAGUGAUCUUUCAUCCAUUAUCCUCCUCCUCCACCUGAUCCCUCCUUCAGCCCAAGGCCGGAAAAGACCAGGAAGGGCGUCUGCAGCCCAAGCUGAGAAGCAUCUUGUCGUGUUCAAGAAGAGUGGAACAAGUAUUCAAGAACAUAUUGAUGCAAUCAAGUGCACCACUCAACCACUUCUUGCUGUUGGGAUGAAGAGGAGCACCAUCCAUGAGUUCUUCAUUACUCUGGACAAGCAGGUCAUACCAUGCAACUCAACCAGUUCUCUAGGAGCUUUUGACAAACUCUUUAAGGCACACUUUGUAUUUGCACCAUGUACAACCAGAUGCUCCACAACAUGUACACCUUCAUUCAGACAACCAUUUACAACAUAGAUGUUGGUCAAGUCCAUGAGAGCCCACGUGUUGCAGAGGUUAGGGUUGCUGCACUAGUUAACAGAUGACUCACAGGGUGGGCAACAUAUUUGUCACUUUUCACUCAAAGUUCUUGCAUCUGUAUUGUGAGUGAUUUUCCCACAUCACUCAGUCUGAUAUCAUGGGCCUGAUUUGUUUUGUUUGCCACUCUCAUUU